CCGUAGAGAAGCUUGCUUCUCUUGAGAGCGGCGGACGGGUGAGUAAUGCCUAGGAAUCUGCCUGGUAGUGGGGGAUAACGUUCGGAAACGGACGCUAAUACCGCAUACGUCCUACGGGAGAAAGCAGGGGACCUUCGGACCUCGCGCAGUUGGAGCGGCCGAUAGCCGAUUAGCUAGUUGUAGGGUAAUGGCCUACCAAGGCAACGAUCGGUAGCUGGUCUGAGAGGACGACCAGUCACACUGGGACUGAAACACGGCCCAGACUCCUACGGGAGGCAGCAGUGGGGAAUUUUGGACAAUGGGGGCAACCCUGAUCCAGCCAUGCCGCGUGCAGGAUGAAGGUCUUCGGAUUGUAAACUGCUUUUGUCAGGGAAGAAAAGUUUGGAGCGAAUAACUCUAAAUGCUGACGGUACCUGAAGAAUAAGCACCG
rnacentral:rRNA from 1 species